rnacentral:misc_RNA from 1 species
CGAGAGCGUGUCAGCGUUC